CAUUAUUAGUUUUAAUUUCAAAAGCUGUUGCUUAUAAUUAGCUGUUAAUAUCUUGUAGAUAUGCAAUACCUGGAAUUUUAAGUAAGUUUUUACUACUUAACUUAAUAGUUAAAGAUAUUACUUUCUUUAAAUGUUAGAAUUCAUCUGCGUAGAAUAAUUGUUAUAUUGUUAUAAUUAUAAUAAUAAUUUACCUGUAAAGUAAAUAAGUUCUUUACACAUCUUUUUUCUCCCAGAUCAUCGCAAGUGGAUGGGUGGUUGAACCAGUUUCUAUUAAUUUUCAAUCUUGCCAAGUGUCUUAUCUUGUUCAGAUGAUUGUUGGCAGUCCAGAAGUCAACUCUAUGGAAGAUAUCAGCAAUAUGCAAUCUCAGUGCAUUAACAACUUGAGCCUUUAUCUCUCUGCAAAACCACCUAGUUAUGGGCCUUCCUAAUAGAACUGUUAUUUUUUCAAUGUGUUUAGAAGUACAAAUUUUGUUACCUGUGUUUCAGAACAAAUAUUUCAAUGCAGGUAUAGUUUGUACACUGUAAAACAAAGACAUUAUAUCAACGGUCACGCUUUGCUUUGAGGUAGAUGAUAAUAUUUCAUUUUGAGGAGGACAAUUAAUUGCUCGGUUUUAUAUUAUGUGUGUGUUGUUUGUAUGAGUUUUAAGUGUUUUUAAUUAAAAGGACUGCAUAUUUUGAAGAAAUCUCAAUAUGAUGUUAUUGAUGGAGCUUGUUUCGAGAAAUAUUUGCACAUUAUUUUAAAAUUUUUAUAAAAAUUAAUCUAGCAGACUCAUACAGUCUUUAAACUGUUGUUUUUUGCAUGUGUUAGAUAAUGCAAACAUUUUAAUAAUAUUCGCUAUGAAAAUGAAAUAUUUACCUAAAACUGCUUGUAGAUAGUUAAAUUUAUAGAUAUAAAUGAAAUACUUAUAAAAUGGCUAUGUACAUUUAGAUAUUAUGCUACUUAAAUUAAAAUUAGAUUGCUGAAUAUGCUACAAAUAUUAAAUGACAUUUAUGAAACAUUGCAUUGUACUUAAUUUUAUUUUGUUUUAUGUCUCAAUGUAUUAGAAAAUAAGAAAGUCAGAGAAAUUUUACUGAUUUUCAAGCUUUUUUUUUCUUUCUAUAAGAUGAGGGAUAUAUAGAUUUUACUUGUAUUUUUUGACAUAUUCUGUAAAUCAUUUAAAUUGGCCUUUUUCAUAUUCUUAUAAAACUAUUCUUUUAAACCUAAUGAGUUCAGCAGAUCCCUAAAAUAUCACAUGUCCUCUUAAACACACAUUGAAGACCCCUACGCUUACUAAAAACUUUGUUCAGUUUAACAUAUGUAUGUGAAAUGCAAGUAAUGAAGGACAAUAUUAACAAAUGGAUAUCAUUGUAAACAUAGUUGAUAGUCAUAUGUUAACUUAUUUAGGAUAGUUACGAAUAGCUUAAUUUUGCUCAACUUGCAAAUAAUACUACAGCUGCCUGGGUCUGCCCAAUUAUUACGAACCAUAGUUAUGAAAUUUAAAACAUUGCAAGAAUUGCUAAUUAGCUUCUAGGUAAAUAAAACGCUCCUGAAAAUAGAGUUACAGUUCUGCAAUAAAAAAAGAGAAGAAGACAGGACUGUACUCAUACUUUUUACACCAUGUUUAUUCCCAAAUAAACAGAAAAAGUAAAGCAUUAGAUACUCGAAAAACAUCACUAUAUAUAUAGAGAGAAAAUAUUAGCAAUGAACAUUGAGUUUGUGGUUCUUGUAAGAGGUCCCACUCUAAUCAUGAAAUCAUUCCAAAAAACCAGUGAAGAAUAAAAGGCAGAAGGUGGAGCUCUCUAUUUUUUCAUUUGAAAACUCAACUCUAAUAGCUGCACAUUCAAAUUCUUCAGUCAAACUCUAUUUUAAUUUGCAAUAUCUAAUAGUGUAUGAUUUGGCGGUUAAUUUGAGAGAAAUUUCAAUGGUGUUAUUUUUCAUAAAUUUGUUAUAAAACAAUGAAGUGCGAACUAAUUUUUAUUAAUUUAUUUAUUUAUAAAAAAAAACAAUGCUAAUAUUUUGCUCAAACUUUGUCGCACACUUUUCUUCAAUCAGUAAAAUUGUUAAGAUGUACUUAAGCAUAUGUGUUAUCAGCGCAAAUCAAAAUUGAAGUACUAGUUAAAUAUAUUUCAAUGUUAAUGAUAUCAUUGUGCAAAUGACAAAACAUUACAUUAUAUGUAUAUAAUAUUAUUUAAAUAAAAUAACAUUUAAUUAUC